GGGCUCUGCUGGCAGAAAGGGGGUCCAUCCUAGGCAUGGGUACUGACACAGGUGACAGCAUCUGCAUACCAGCCAGCUUCUGUGGUGUUUAUGGCCUCUGGACCACAGGUUCCCGCCUCAGCUACACUGGAAUUGCCUCUGCCAUCAAGGGGAAAAAAAUCGGUGACCACGGUGGCUGGCCCCAUGGCCCAGGACGUGGAGAGCCUGGCGCUGUGCCUGCAAGCCCUGCUGAGUGAAGACAUGUACCGACUGGACCCCACUGUGCUCCAGAUGCCCUUUAGGGAGGAGGUGAAGACCCCCUUUCCCACCCCAGGCUGCAGUGAGUGAGAAGCCCACAUGCUCAGUCCAGUUUGUUUCCUUCCCCUGCUGGACACCAGCUGCUUUGGCUUCUUGGCUAUCUGGAGCCAUAGCUUCCCCCCUCUAGGAUCCCCAAACUAGCCAGCAUCUUGAAGAGAUUCGUGGAGUGGGGACACCCAAGAAACUGUGGGAACAGCACACAGCAGUGGAGGAAUAUGAGCAAGAGUUCAUAGCCAAGUGGAGGUCCCUGGACCUGGAUGUGCUGCUGGUGCCAGUUCUGGGCUCUGCCUUCUAUAUAGGCUCUUCCUCCCUAGCAUCAGAAAGUCAGUCUUAUGUGACCCUGUACAACCUCCUGGACUUUCCCGCGGGCGUGGUGCCUGUCACUAUCGUGACACUACAGGACGAGGAGGAACUGGCCUUCUACAAGGGGUGCUACGGAGAUAGUUCUGACAAAAAUUUCUCAGAGGCGGUAAGAGGAUCCGUCGGAGUUCUGGUGACUGUGCAGUGCAUUGCUUUGCCAUGGGAAGAGGAGCUGUGUCUCCGGUUCAUGAAGGAGGUGGACACCUUGGUCAAGAAUCAGAGGGGGCCCAAGUGAUAGGCUCCUGGAAUGGAGUAACAGCUCAUGAAACACGGGGCUGGUUGUGGUGGCUCAUACUUGUAAUCCCAGCAGUUCAGGAGGCAGAGGCUGGCAGAUCGCUUGAGGCCACGAGUUUGAGACCAACCUGGGCAACAUAGUGAGACCCUGCUUCUAAAGCAUUUUCUUGGUGUUACUCCUGUAGAUCCUCACCCAAGUGUGCUCCUGAUGCCCCUUCCUUCUCAUGAAUACCAUGUCCACCUUAUGUCUCCUCCUUCUGGAACCCCACCAGGUUCCUUUUCUUUGUUGGUCCCUCUGUGUGGGUGCUCAAUAUUCCUCAGAUGGGCCCAGGAUGGGGAGCAGGGUGAGGAGCUCAAUAAACAUUUUCUGACUGGC